rnacentral:sRNA from 1 species
CAGGACCAGUGCUGUAAAACGCGUUAUGGGGUUGAAAAAAUGAAAUUUGCUCUAUGUUACGUUGCAUCAGCUGCUUUCGUGGCAGAGAGUAAAAUUCUUCGUCGAGCAGUCCGCCUUGCUACAAACGCGAUCUCCUGGGAUAACUUGGAAGUUAUUUUUCAAUUUGGGAUUUCAUUUUCGGAUUUUAUGAUUUCGUCAGUUAGUAGCCUUGUUGUGAAUCGUGGGCCAGCUACAUCUUUACCCAACGGCAGUGAAAGGGUUGCGGAGAGCGAUUUUAUGAACGGACAUAAUCUCCACGGACGUCCCUACACACUGAAUUGGGAGUUGAAGGAUGUAUGGGCGCCGCGGAUUCUUGAUGAGGCGAUUGGCUUCAUCAUUGAAAAUUUUCCUCGAAAUUUUCAACUUGAUCCUGACGCGCACUCACAAGAGUUGCUUGACAGGCUCUCUUCUGGGAGAACGCCGUCCAGGCGCUAUAUCAGAGAGGUAUCCACAUUGACAUUUGGUAGUUUUGCUGAUGCAAACAGCUGCAAAUUUAGGAGAGAGGAACGGGUCAUGUCAGCGAUAUUCUUGGCCGUUCCGUUCAAAAUAUUGAGGAAACUUUUUAAUGCCAUGAUAGUUAAGGGAGUCCUUACUGUGAGCAUGGCGGAGGACAUUAUAUUUGAGCGCGAACGGCGUCGGAUUCGGGCUGUCCGGACUGUCAAAAAGAAUGAGGCCUCUUCUGGCAGCAACUCUCAACUGACAAUUCAAGCAACCGACCCAAUCGGUUGGCGAGAGG